UGAUGAUCAGUUUCCCUAUCAUGUGUUUCCAUUGGAAGAUCAAUUUCCAAUAGCAAGUGAUAUUAUGACACCCUUGGAGGCUUCUAUGAAUGUCUCAUCUCAAGAGGUUCCUAACAUUGUGAACCAACAAGAGCACCUACAACCUCAUGUACCUACUACUAGACAGACCAUAACCAAGGUAUAUCAAAGAUGAUCAAGCAGAUAUCAAGAGGUUACUCAGCAAGAAUAACAACUACAAAGGGGUCCUAAUACUACACAGCCUGCAACUCAACCAUCUGCAGCUCAAGAUCAAAGGAAAUCAACUAGAGAAAGGAAGCCAC
rnacentral:lncRNA from 1 species